GUCAGUAUGCUGGAGUUUCUUAUCGACAACAUAUUUGUUGAGUUUGGAGGUAGACUUUUUCAACAAACUGUCGGCAUUCCUAUGGGAACGAACUGCGCGCCUCUCCUUGCUGACCUCUUCUUGUUUUCAUAUGAAUCGGAGUUCCUUCAGACACUUGUCAAAAACAAGAAGAUCAAAGAAGCCAGGUUAUUUAAUUUCACUUUCAGAUAUAUUGAUGAUGUUCUUUCCAUUAACAAUCCUAACUUUUCUGAUUGGGUUCCAUUAAUAUAUCCACCAGAACUAGAAAUUAAAGAGACAACAGACACGGCUUCAUCCGCCUCAUUUUUAGACUUAUACCUCGAAUUUGACAUACACAGUCAUCUUAGUACUAGAAUCUAUGACAAACGAGACGAUUUUGAUUUUGAAAUUAUCAAUUUCCCCCACCUUAGUAGCAACAUACCAACUUCACCUG
rnacentral:lncRNA from 1 species